GACGAACGCUGGCGGCGUGCUUAACACAUGCAAGUCGAACGAGACGAUUUAGAAGCUUGCUUUUAUUGAGUCGAGUGGCAAACGGGUGAGUAACGCGUAGACAACCUGCCGCAAAGAUGGGGACAACAGUCCGAAAGGACUGCUAAUACCGAAUGUUGUAUCUCCUCCGCAUGGAAGAGAUAUUAAAGAUGGCCUCUACUUGUAAGCUAUCGCUUUGCGAUGGGUCUGCGUCUGAUUAGCUAGUUGUGGGGCAACGGCCUACCAAGGCGACGAUCAGUAGCCGGUCUGAGAGGAUGAACGGCCACAUUGGAACUGAGACACGGUCCAGACUCCUACGGGAGGCAGCAGUGGGAANCUCGCAAUGGGCGAAAGCCUGACGGAGCAACGCCGCGUGAGUGAAGAAGGUCUUCGGAUCGUAAAGCUCUGUUGUCGGGGACGAAUGUUGA
rnacentral:rRNA from 1 species